rfam:Triticum aestivum genome assembly, contig: Triticum_aestivum_CS42_TGACv1_scaffold_648913_T_6DL-0.316154_6BL-0.288307
CACAUACUCCCUCCGUCCGGAAUUACUUGUCGCAUAAAUGGAUGUAUCUAGACGUAUUUUAAAUUCUAUAUACAUCCAUUUCUACGACAAGUAAUUCGGGGCGGAGGGAGUAUUUU